rnacentral:lncRNA from 1 species
CUAUUCAUUAUUGCCACAAUUUCAGAUCCUGUUAUUGGUCUAUUCAGAGUUUCAACUUCUUCCUGGUUUAGUCUUGGGAGAGUGUAUGUGUCGAGGAAUUUAUCCAUUUCUUGUAGAUUUUCUAGUUUAUUUGUGUAGAGGUGUUUGUAGUAUUCUCUGAUGGUAGUUUGUAUUUCUGUGGGAUCAGUGGUGAUAUCCCCUUUAUCAUUUUUUAUUGUGUCUAUUUGAUUCUUCUCUCUUUUUUUCUUUAUUAGUCUUGCUAGCG